GAAAUAGCUCAGUUGGGAGAGCGUUAGACUGAAGAUUUAAAGGUCCCUUUUAUAAGGGCAUGUAGCUCAGAUGGUAGAUUAGCAUACAAGAGGUACUGGAAUCGAUACCCAGCAUCUCCA